rnacentral:rRNA from 1 species
AACCUCCGCAAUGUGAGAAAUCGCGACGGGGGGAUCCCAAGUGCCAUUCUUAACGGGAUGGCUUUUCAUUAGUGUAAAGAGCUUUUGGAAUAAGGGCUGGGCAAGACCGGUGCCAGCCGCCGCGGUAACACCGGCAGCUCUAGUGGUAGCAGUUUUUAUUGGGCCUAAAGCGUCCGUAGCCGGUUUAAUAAGUCUCUGGUGAAAUCCUGUAGCUUAACUGUGGGAAUUGCUGGAGAUACUAUUAGACUUGAGACCGGGAGAGGUUAGAGGUACUCCCAGGGUAGAGGUGAAAUUCUGUAAUCCUGGAAGGACCGCCUGUUGCGAAGGCGUCUAACUGGAACGGUUCUGACGGUGAGGGACGAAAGUUAGGGGCGCGGAACCGGAUUAGAUACCCGGGUAGUCCUAACUGUAAACGAUGCGGACUUGGUGUUGGGGUGGUUUUGAGCUGCUUCAGUGCCGAAGGGAAGCUGUUAAGUCCGCCGCCUGGGAAGUACGGUCGCAAGACUGAAACUUAAAGGAAUU